UCCUGACGUCCCCAUUCAUUCCCAUGAGGGAAUCAAACUGUUUAAGCACAUAAAAUCCAAAAGGAAUUCUGGUUGCAUCCCUUAGAUUGCAACCCACUAGAGAGAGAGAGAGAGAGUAUUCUGAAUACAAAGUCUCACUGAUAUCCAAUACAACUGAAAAAAGAUCAUGCAAAGCGAGCUGGUAGCUGAGGUGCCCCAAGGGACACAUAAGCCCCCACCCCCAUUUCAAAAAGAAAAGAAGGUAAAGCAUACGCUAGAGAUCCUCUGAGUCAGAGUUAUACUACUUCCGCUUUGGUAACCUAUUUAAAACAGAACCUUAAAGACUGGAGACGCUAACAUUUAAAACAAAUUAUACAAAUGUUUCGAGAAAAUCUUAAUGUUUUUGACAUACAAAACAAUUUAUCUAU